GAUCAUGGCUCAGGAUGAACGCUGGCGGCGUGCUUAACACAUGCAAGUCGAACGGAGACAAGAGAAGCUUGCUUUUCUUAUCUUAGUGGCGGACGGGUGAGUAACGCGUGGGUAACCUACCCUGUACAGGGGGAUAGCAGUUGGAAACGACUGAUAAAACCGCAUAAAACGGCAGUACCGCAUGGUACAACCGUCAAAUAUUCAUAGGUACAGGAUGGGCCCGCGUCUGAUUAGCUAGUUGGUGGGGCAACGGCCUACCAAGGCGACGAUCAGUAGCCGGCCUGAGAGGGUGAACGGCCACAUUGGGACUGAGACACGGCCCAAACUCCUACGGGAGGCAGCAGUGGGGAAUAUUGGACAAUGGGGGAAACCCUGAUCCAGCGAACCGCCGCGUGAGUGAAGAAGUAUUUCGGUAUGUAAAGCUCUAUCAGCAGGGAAGAUGAUGACGGUACCUGACUAAGAAGCACCGGCUAAAUACGUGCCAGCCGCGGC
rnacentral:rRNA from 1 species